rnacentral:rRNA from 1 species
GACGAACGCUGGCGGCGUGCUUAACACAUGCAAGUCGAACGGAACGGCCCUGCUUUUGUGGGGUGCUCGAGUGGCGAACGGGUGAGUAACACGUGAGUAACCUGCCCUUGCCUUUGGGAUAACUUCAGGACACUGGGGCUAAUACCGGAUAGGAGCUCCUGCUUCUUGGUGGGGGUUGGAAAGUUUCGGCGGUUGGGGAUGGACUCGCGGCUGAUUGGCUUGUUGGUAGGGUAGUGGCUUACCAAGGCGAUGAAGCAUAGCUGGUCGGAGCGGAUGAUCGGCCACACUGGGACUGAGACACGGCCCAGACUCCUACGGGAGGCAGCAGUGGGGAAUAUUGGACAAUGGGCGAAAGCCUGAUCCAGCAAUGCGGCGUGAGUGAUGAAGGCCUUAGGGUUGUAAAGCUCUUUUAGCCGGGAUGAUAAUGACAGUACCGGGAGAAUAAGCUCCGGCUAACUCCGUG